AAGAGUCCGGAUGGUACUGUGGAAGCUCGGACGGUUGGGGGAGUUCAGAAAGAUGCCACACAAGGUCAGAAGCUGAAAGAGUCCUGGGAGGGUUGGCCUCUUACGAACUUUGACUGGGGUUAUUUUAUACCCAAUAGGAUCUAAAAAAGAAUGUUUGAGUUCUUAUUUGGACUAAAAAUUUUUAUUUUUAUGGAUGUAUCAAAUCCUAAUUGAAUUAGGAUUAAAUUGAGUUUGACUCAAUCACUACGAGAGAGUCCA
rnacentral:lncRNA from 1 species